UUGCGGUUAAAAAGCUCGUAGUUGGAUUUCUGUUGAGGUCGGGCGGUGUACACCUCGUGUAUUAUUUGCUUCGGUCUCGGCAUCCUCUUGGGGAACGUACGGACCUUCAUUGGACUGUGCGAGAUUCAAGACUUUUACUUUGAGGAAAUUAGAGUGUUCACGGCAGGCAAGUGCUUUGAAUACAUUAGCAUGGAAUAAUAAUAUAGGACCUUCGUUCUAUUUUGUUGGUUUCUAGAACUUAGGUAAUGAUUAAUAGGGACAAUUGGGGGCAUUCGUAUUAACGCGUCAGAGGUGGAAUUCUUGGAUUGCGUUACGACGAACUACUGCCAAAGCAUUUGCCAAAGAUGUUUUCAUUGAUCAAGAACGAAAGUAUGGGGAUCGAAGACGCUUAGAUACCGUUCGUAGUCUAUACCAUAAACUAUGCCAACUAGGGAUUGGACGGGUUAUCCUAUGUGG
rnacentral:rRNA from 1 species